rnacentral:rRNA from 1 species
UACGUAGGGUGCGAGCGUUAAUCGGAAUUACUGGGCGUAAAGUGUGCGCAGGUGGCCGCGCAAGUCGAGUGUGAAAUCCCCGAGCUUAACUUGGGAAUUGCGCUCGAAACUACGUGGCUCGAGUGUGGCAGAGGAAGGUGGAAUUCCACGUGUAGCGGUGAAAUGCGUAGAGAUGUGGAGGAACACCAGUGGCGAAGGCGGCUCACUGGCCCGGUACUGACGCUGAGGUGCGAAAGCGUGGGGAGCAAACAGG